CGACCUCAGGUCAGACGUGGCGACCCGCUGAAUUAAGCAUAUUAGUCAGCGGAGGAAAAGAAACUAACGAGGAUUCCCUCAGUAACGGCGAGUGAAGAGGAAGACCCAGCGCCGAAUCCCCGCCCCGCGGUGGGCGCGGGAGGUGGCGUACGGAAGCCCCCAUCCCCGGCGCCGGCUCUCGGGGGGCCCAAUCCUUCUGAUCGAGCCCAGCCCGCGGACGGUGUGAGCCGGUAGCGGCCCCCGCGCGCCGGGCCCGGCUUCUCGGAGUCGGGUUGCUUGGAAUGCAGCCCAAAGCGGUGGUAAACUCCAUCUAAGCAAAUACCGGCACGAGACCGGAUAGCCAACAAGUACCGAAGGGAAAGUUGAAAAGAACUUGAAGAGAGAGUUCAAGAGGGCGUGAACCGUUAAGAGGUAAACGGGGUGGGGUCCGCGCAGUCGCCCGGAGGAUUCAACCCGGCGGGCCAAGGUCGGCCGGCGCGGCGCCGUCCGGAUCCCCGCCUCCGCCUCCCCCCGUCCCUCCCCUUCGCCGGGCGGCGCCCAGGGCGGGCCGGCCGGGACCGCCGCCCGCCGCGUCCGGCCCCCGUCGGGCGCAUUCCUCCGCGCGUGCGCCGCGACCGGCUCCGGGACGGCUGGAAGGGCUGCCGGCGGCAGGUGGCCCGGCGCCGCGCGAGCGGCCGCCGUGUUAUAGCCGCCGGGCCCGGAUCGUCGCCGGAUCCCGGGCCGAGGAGAGGACCGCCGCCGCCCCUCCCCGGAGGGGCGGCCCCCCGGAGGGCCCCCCGCGGCCGGACCGGCGUCGGGCCGCCGCGCCGCGCGCGCGUCCGCGCCGCCGCCGUACGCCGCCGCUCGCUCUCUCUCCGUUCCCCCGCCCCGGGUCCGUCCCGGGCGCGGGCGGGGGGGUCCGGGUGUCCGGCGCGCGGCUCGGCGCGGCGCCGCGCGUGUGGCGCGCGCCUCCAGCCCCGGCGCGGGCGAGGCGCGGGGGCGCCGGGGGGAACCUUCCCCCUUCUGUUCGGGCCGCCUCCGUUCCCGCGGGGGGCGCCCGUUCGGGGACGGCCCGCCGCCCCCGCGCCGCUGUCCACCGGGGCGACUGCGCUCAGUCCGCCCCGACCGGCGCGGCGCCGCCGGGCCGGGCUCGGGCCACGCCAGGCCCCGGGUCCGCGGCGACGUCGGCUACCCCACCCGACCCGUCUUGAAACACGACCAAGGAGUCUAGCACGCGCGCUGAGUCGGCGGCUCCGCGACAAGCCCCGCGGCGCAAUGAAGGUAGGCCGCGCGCCGCCGGCGAGUGGAUCCCGGGCGCAGCCCGAAGCCCCGGCGCCACCACCGGCCCUCCGCCCGCCUCGCCGGGGAGGUGAGCAUGAGCGCGCGUGCUAGGACCCGAAGAUGUGAACUAUGCUGGGCAGGGCGAAGCCAGAGGAAACUCUGGUGGAGGUCCCUAGCGGUCCUGACGUGCAAAUCGUCGUCCGACCCGGGUAUAGGGGCGAAAGACUAAUCGAACCACCUAGACUGGUCCCUCCGAAGUUUCCCUCAGAUACUGGCGUCGGGCGGCGGUGCAGUUUACCCGUAAAGCGAAUGAUUAGAGGUCUUGGGCCGAAACGAUCUCAACCUAUUCUCAAACUUCAAUGGUAAGACGCACCGGCUCGCUGGCGUGGACCGGCCGUGGAAUGCGAGCGGCUCAGUGGGCCACUUUGUAAGCAAACUGGCGCUGCGGAUGAACCGAACGCCGGGUUAAGGCGCACCGAUGCCGACGCUCAUGCAGAGCCCAGAAAAGUUUGGUUAUCUAGACAGCAGGACGGUGGCCAUGGAAUCGGAACCCGCUAAGGAGUGGUGUAACACCACCUGCCGAAUCAACUACCCUGAAAAUGGAUGGCGCUGGAGCGUCCGCCCAUACCCGGCCGCGCCGGCGGUGCGGAGCCGCGGGGCUACGCCGCGACGAUAGGAGGGCCGCUGCGGUGCGCCUGGAAGCCUGGGCGCGGGCCCGGGUGGAGCCGCCGCAGGUGCAGAUCUUGGUGGUAGAGCAACUAUUCAAACGAAGAGCUUGAAGCCGAAGUGGAGCAGGGUCCAUGUAACAGCAGUUGAACAUGGUCAGUCGGUCCUAAGCGAUAGGCGAGCGCCGUUCCGAAGGGACGGCGAUGGCCUCCCGUUGCCCUCAGCCGAUCGGAAAGGGAGUCGGUUCAGAUCCCCGAAUCCGGAGCGGCGGAGACGGCGCCGCGAGCCGCCCAGUGCGGUAACGCAAGCGAUCCCGGAGAAGCCGGCGGGCCCCGGGGAAGUUCUCUUUCUUUGUGAAGGCCGGGCGCCCUGGAACGGGUUCCCCCGAGAGAGGGCCCGCGCCUUGGAAAGCGGUCGCGGUUCCGGCGGCGUCCGGUGAGCUCUCGCUGGCCCGUGAAAAUCCGGGGGAGAGGUGUAAAUCUCGCCCGGGCCGUACCCAUAUCCGCAGCAGGUCUCCAAGUGAACAGCCUCUGGCAUGUGGGACCAAUGUAGUAAGGGAAUUCGCAAGCCGGAUCCGUAACUUCGGGAUAAGGAUUGGCUCUAGGCUGGGUCCGGUCGGCUGGGCGCGAAGCGGGCUGGGCGCGCGCCGCGCUGACCGAGGCCCCGGCCCGCCGCCGCCCCUCCUUUGCCGGGGCGCCGGGGGGGGUCGCGGCGGCGCGCGGCGCGACCUGGACGCAGCCGCCGGGCCUUCCGGGAUGCCCGCUGCGCGGCGCUCGCUCGCCGGCCCGCCCCGUCCCGGGCCGUCGUCCGGCCGCCCCCCGCCGAGCGUGCGAGCGGGCGCGAGGGGCGGCGGCGGCGGCGCGGGCGCGGCGGCGGCGGGGGGGGCCGCGGCGGCGCCGGGCGGGCGUUCCCGGGCGGGGGGGGGUCUCCGGGCCGGCGCCCCGCCUCGGCCGGCGCCUAGCAGCCGGCUUAGAACUGGUGCGGACCAGGGGAAUCCGACUGUUUUAAUUAAAACAAAGCAUCGCGAAGGCCGCGGCGGGUGUGACGCGAUGUGAUUUUCUGCCAGUGCUCUGAAUGUCAAGUGAAGAAAUCAAUGAAGCGCGGGUAAACGGCGGGAGUAACUAUGACUCCUCUAAGGUAGCCAAAUGCCCUCGUCAUCUAAUUAGUGAACGCGCAUGAAUGAGAUGAACGAGAUUUCCCACUGUCCCUACCUACUCUCGCAGCGAAACCACAGCCAAGGGAACGGGCUUGGCGGAAUCAGCGGGAAAGAAGACCCUGUUGAGCUUGACUCUAGUCUGGCGCUGUGAAGAGACAUGAGAGGUGUAGAAUAAGUGGGAGGCCCCGCGUCGCAGCGACCGCCGCCGCGGCCCGGCCGCCGGUGAAAUACCACUACUCUGAUCGUUUUUCACUUACCCCGGUGAGGCGGGGGGGCGAGCCCCGAGGGGGCUCUCGCUUCUGGCGCCAAGCGCCCGGCGCGCGCCGGGCGCGACCCGCUCCGGGGACAGCGUCAGGUGGGGAGUUUGACCUUGGGGCGGUACACCUGUCAAAGCGUCACGCAGGUGUCCUAAGGCGAGCUCAGGGAGGCCAAGAACCUCCCGUGGAGCAGAAGGGCAAAAGCUCGCUUGAUCUUGAUUUCAGUACGAUACAGACGUGAAAGCGGGCCUCACGAUCCUUCUGACUUUUUGGUUUUAAGCAGGAGUGUCAAAAAUUACCACAGGAAACUGCUGUGGCGCCAAGCGUUCAUAGCACCGUCCUUUUUGACCUCGAUGUCGGCUCUUCCUAUCAUGUAAGCAGAAUUCACCAGCUUGAUUUCACCCCUAAUAGGAACUGACUGGGUUUAGACCGCGUGAACAGUAGUUUACCCUACUGAUAGUGUUGUUAGCGCAGUAAUCCGCUCAACAGAGGAACCGCAGGUUCAGACAUUUGGUGUAUGUGCUGUGGAGCUGGAGGACGUGGUCCACUCCGAAGAGCGAGCGUGGGCCGUAGCCGAUCGGUGCGGAGCGCCGCUCGUGGUCGGGACCGGAGCGCGGACAGAUGUGGCGCCGCCUCUCCCCCGCCGCGUACCGCAUGUUCGUGGGAACCCGGUGCUAAAUCAUUCGUAGACGACCUGAUUCUGGGUCGGGGUUUCGUACGUAGCAGAGCAGCUCCCUCGCUGCGAUCUAUUGAGAGUCAGCCCUCGACACAAGCUUUUGU
rfam:Gallus gallus breed Red Jungle fowl, inbred line TCD001 Contig3904.1, whole genome shotgun sequence. [11-NOV-2016]